rnacentral:rRNA from 1 species
GAUGAACGCUGGCGGCGUGCCUAAUACAUGCAAGUCGAGCGAACAGACGAGGAGCUUGCUCCUCUGACGUUAGCGGCGGACGGGUGAGUAACACGUGGAUAACCUACCUAUAAGACUGGGAUAACUUCGGGAAACCGGAGCUAAUACCGGAUAACAUGUUGAACCGCAUGGUUCAACAGUGAAACACGGUCUUGCUGUCACUUAUAGAUGGAUCCGCGCCGCCUUAGCUAGUUGGUAAGGUAACGGCUUACCAAGGCAACGAUGCGUAGCCGACCUGAGAGGGUGAUCGGCCACACUGGAACUGAGACACGGUCCAGACUCCUACGGGAGGCAGCAGUAGGGAAUCUUCCGCAAUGGGCGAAAGCCUGACGGAGCAACGCCGCGUGAGUGAAGAAGGUCUUCGGAUCGUAAAACUCUGUUAUUAGGGAAGAACAAAUGUGUAAGUAACUAUGCACGUCUUGACGGUACCUAAUCAGAAAGCCCCGGCUAACUACGUG